GCAAAGAACCACGAUCAACAAGUCUGGAUAUUUGGGGAAAUGCACUUGUUCACAUGUUUUUUUCUUUAUUUAACCAAAUAAAAGUCUCAUCUAAAUUAAAAUCUCCUUUUCAAUAGAGAACUCAACUCACUUUCUGGCCAAGAAUGAGAUGAAUUGAUACCACUCUCAGUAGUGACAGUGCUAUCGAUCGUCUCAUCUAAGUCUUGGCAAAAAAACUACACCCUCCAAAAUGUUUAACUUUCCUUUAACUCAUUUUAAAUUCAAGUUUGGUAUUGAUUAUAAUCUGUGUCAUCCAACUUUGUGUCACUUCAGACCCUGCAAUUCCCUCUCAGUCCAGCAGUCGUCCUCAGUGCGUUGUGCCCGUCCCCACCUUCACACCUGCCUCUGACCACCUCAUUAUCUCCCUACCUGCCCUUUCAGUUCAGUUCCUUGUCAGACUGUCUAUUGCCUUCCUGACUCUACCCCUGUAUUCUUGUUGUUCGUCCGGUCUUGAGCCUAUAACUCUCUCACCCUCACAACAUCGUUUGCUUCUGCUGGCUGCCUUCCUCCAAACCCUACUUUUAUUACUGGUCAAGUAAACAUCAUUUUAUCCCACCUCCCUGUGAGUUGGGCUCCUGAGUUCAAGCCUCAUAUGUCAGGGAUGAAAUCACAUGGCAGGGUGACAUCAUGCCCGACGUAUCCAGUCACUGCAGACGGGACUUUGACAUCUUGUGAGUCAAGAACUGAUAAAAAA